AGAGAGAGAGAGAGAGAGAGAGAGAGAGAGAGAGAGAGAGAGAGAGAGAGAGAGAGAGGCCCGGUGGUUGUGAAAUCCUGAUUGCAUAACAGUUAACAUGGCUCUGCUAUUCUGGGAGAAACGGUGGGACAAAGGUGAGAAUUGUGUUUGCCAUGUGAGUUUUACUGGUGCUGUGUGGAAUGAGGCUGUGGGGUGCGACUGAUACAGCCAGAAACACUCACACGGUGGGUGUAUCUCUUCUCACUGUGUGUAUCUGUCUGUCUGUUUUACACACACACACUCAACUUGCAUCUGUUAAAACUUCACCUGGGUGAAUUAUGAACUUCAGAGACCAUGGACCAUGGACAGUGUUUUCUGAGUCAUUUGGGAGCAUGCACUUCUAGUCAAUAUUCCACCAGUUUGAAUUGAAGAUUUGAUCCGGUUCAAAUAGGACGUGUGUAUCUUCAUGGCGAUUAAGUAAAUGGCCCUCAUAGCUUGGGAAAUGUCACAACAGAAGAGAGGAAUUCUGUUUGGUACAAUUAGUGGGCUACAUACCCACUGGCCACAGAUGUCAGUUCAACAUCUAGUUUUGAUUUACAUUUGGUUGAGUUGUCAACUAACGUUAAUUCAAAGUGAAACAAUGUUGAUUCAACCAGUUUUUGCCCAGUCAUGCAAAGAUGAGAAACGGGAUGGAGAUGGGGGAAAUGUAUGCAAAGUAAAAAUGAUUAUAUUGUUGGAAAAAACAUGCUAGACUUUUAAAACAAGGGGUUAUUGACUAACACUGGGCAGGUUACAAAUCAUGAAGGUAUUUUUGUGCAUUAAUUCUGUGAAUUUGGUCGGCAAACUGAUAGUAGACAUGGGAGAAUCUGGGAUGGAAUGAACGGGACAAUAUCUAUCUUAAAGUCCUUCAUCUUCCAGAAACCUUGGGCUCAAGGUUAUAUCAUACAGUAUAUCACACUUCCUUAUUGUAAAUUCAAUGUAGGGAUAUCAUAUUGUAUGUUUCAAGAUUUAGAGAUAUUAAACACUUUUAUAAAUGGUGGGAAUACAAAGUUUAGACUACCCUGAUGAUAUUCAUGGUGAAAUGAGCAGAAUGUUUAGUAGCACCCAUCUCUUUUCCUUUGUCUAGAUUUUGAGAUCUGCAACAGUACAACUUUUUAUCUAGUAUUAAUUUGAACUUAUCAACACGAAUUGGAGUAUUUAGAGUACUUAAUAGGUAGAAAACACUUAACAGAAAAAGGCUAUGUCAAUAACUAAAUUUGGACAAAAAUGCAGAUAGAAGCUCUCAAAUACUCAAGAGUUCACCCUUUAUUCAGACUAGAACCUGAGGCCAAUAUUAAAUCAAAAUGGGUAUGCAGCCCCCCCCUCCCCCAAAAAUACAAAAAAAUAACAUCAUAUGCAUGUUGGAUUAUCGCUACAAUUUUCUGCAUAUUAGACUAAUCAAAACAUACUGUAUUGCUGUGCCUGAAUAAUUGUUCUAGACAUCCUGGAGAAAUGGUCAUCGGUUUUGACUAAGUAGAACCUUGAGUCUCACAAUCAGUAUUUUAAAUGUAUGUAGGUCUUAUGGAGGCACUUUCACUGGUCUGUUUGUGGCCCCUUUUCUCUCAUCAUUAUCUGAACAUACCUAAAGCAAAGUCUAUGUGUCCUUAUUGUUGUGUGAGUCUACCAGACAAUUUAAGGCUUGUUUUGGUUAUGUACUGUAUGUUGCCUUUUUAUUGCCUCAUUCUUUCAGACAUUUGGAAUGCUGUUUUGGAGUGGAGUGGCUAGACUAUAACUCUCCUUUUUUAUAUUCUUUGUCAUAGACAAUGUCACUUGGUUGCAGAGUUUGCAGUGCGUGUGCAAAAACAUUUUUCUCCCAAUGUACUGCCUUGAUUACAAACUGACUUGUUUUCUAUUCAAUGAUAAAAAAAUACAAAAUAAAAAUAGUUUCUACUUUAACAAGCCUUGCUUCGGUUUUAAGGGAUAUUUGUUUGUUAUGGUUUGGAGAUAGAUACAAACGGUCAUUCCCAUUUGCACAUGACAUUAAUGAAGAUGUAUUUAUACAUUUGUUAUAAUAUAACAGGAAUGCCAGAACCGACCACCGAAGCAUGGUAGAAAUGGUAUGUAACAACAUUGAAUGACUUAAGAGCAUUUAGAACAUGAAGUCAGCAUUCUAGCAUUGUUCCUGAAGGAUUUUUUUUGUGAUUUUUUGUUCAUUUGUUGUGUAAUGUACAAUGUAUCAACCUAUAGGAUUAUUUGUCUUGUACAUGGCUAUUGUGUGCACUCUAUGCAAUAGAACUUGGGUAUAAAAUGCACUCUUUUAGCUAGAUUUUUUUUGGUCUGCUUAUACAAAAUGUACAGUACUUGAUUGUAUUGAUACCACAUCAAUAAAUACUUUCUUGUA
ensembl:lncRNA